AACCGUAUGGUUCUUAGAUCGUACCCACGUUACUUGGAUAACUGUGGUAAUUCUAGAGCUAAUACAUGCCGACAGAGUUCCGACCAGCUGUUCGGAUGUGCGACGGCCUCGCGUCGUUCGUCGCCGUUCGGUUCGGAAGGAACGCUUUUAUUAGAUCAAAACCGGCUAAACGGCGGUUUCGCUCUUGCAGCGUUUACCGUCGUAAGCGGCCCGCGCAAAGAUUUGGUGACUCUGAAUAACUUCGAGCUGAUCGCACGGUCUUCGUACCGGCGACGUAUCUUUCAAAUGUCUGCCUUAUCAACUGUCGACGGUAGGUUCGACGCCUACCGUGGUGGUAACGGGUAACGGGGAAUCAGGGUUCGAUUCCGGAGAGGGAGCCUGAGAAACGGCUACCACAUCUAAGGAAGGCAGCAGGCGCGCAAAUUACCCACUCCCAGCUCGGGGAGGUAGUGACGAAAAAUAACGAUACGGGACUCAUUCGAGGCCCCGUAAUCGGAUGAAUUACACUUAA
rnacentral:rRNA from 1 species